UGGGGGAUGGGAGGAUGUUGCCAUGACAACUGCCAUAAUAAUCAUCCUAAUGAUUGAUGUGCUGCACUCCGUUUCUCUCCAUUUGGACUCUCUCUCUCUCUCUCUCUCGCUCUCGCUCUCUGUCUCUCUCUCUCUCUCUCUAAAUCUAAAUCUGUCUGUAGGAGAUGAUAUUCUGUGUUCAUUACAUUAUAACAAGGAAGACUGUGAUAAACAUGAAGACAAACAUACACACAAAUGUUUAAUGAUAUCUUAAUAGGACACUGAAAUAUUGUUUAUUAUGACAAAUUACUCGUUUAUUUGAAACAUUUCUCAGCUGUGUUUGGUAGUAAAAGAUUGAUUAUGAAAAGAAGAGGGGAGAAGAAAAAAGAGGUGCUGCUAUGUCUCCUGUGUAGGAGUCUGAGUCAUUCUAAUGUCAUUGCAUUAGACCAUUCGUUUUGUGUGUAAAAUUGUGAGGUGUGUGUACGCGUGUGUGUGUACGGGCUCAUACAUACAUAUCUAAUUUCCUCUUGGGGAUAAAUGAAGUUCUUCUUAUCAUAUCUUAUACAAACCCCAAAUAGUUCUGUAAUUAAAUAAUUGCUCUACAAACUUUAAACUAAGCGACCUUUUGCGCUUGUCCUGUCAGAAAUAGCUUCCACUCACAGAUUUUUAAAAAAAGUUUAGAUGAAUCAACAAUCUGCCUCUUUUCUAUUCUUAAGUUUGUUUAAUAGCUUAUAUUUUGUUAAUAUAAACCUAACUGCCCUCUGCUCUGUGGCAGAUGAUAGCAUAUAAUUGAUGAAAUGUCCUGUUUCAGAAAUAAUUCUCUGUAUGAUCAUUUCUUAUAUUGCUAUGCCAUAAUAUAAUGUGGUUCUAAUUCUGAUUUUCUGCUUCCACAUGAGAGAAUCUUAUUCAGUGUAGGACUCAGGAUUAAUUUGACAUUGAUUUGAUGCUAUAACAUAUUUUAUAUUACACAAGUACAGAUAGGACUGGCAAAGUAUAAUGUGAUGUUCUUUAAAGUGUCUCAAUAUUAUAAAUGACAUGUUCAACAUUUCUCUUCUAUAACAUAAUCUGACUCUUAAAAGACACAUUUUAAAAGCAAGUCCUGAGGAGUUGUGCGCAAAAACUAAGUGAAAUAUCAAUUAAGAUGCAUUUCACUCAUUCUCUUUUAAUUAAUACCUUUUAAACAGGAUAAAAAUAAAAAAAAUAAACUUAGCAUGACUAUUAAUAAUAACAAUAAUAAUGAUAAUAUUGUAAUAAUAUUUUUUUUGAUAUAAUAAUAGUAAUAAUAAUAAUGAAAAUAAUUAUAGUAAUGAUGAAUAAAUAUAAAUUAUUAUCAUUAUUAUUAUUAUUAUUAUUAUUGUUGUUGUUGUUGAUGAUUUUAUUAAUAUUGCUUAUUAAAGUAUUAUAAUACUUUUAGAUUUUUUUAUUACUUAUACUUCUACUACUACUACUACUAAUAAUAAUAUCUUAAUCUUUUAUAUUUUUGGCAUAAUGUAAUUAUUUUUUUCUUUUUGCUUCAUUCUUAUUUUAAUGAAUUAAAUUAUUUUAUUGUUUCACUUUUUCCAGUGACAGAUUUGAUAAUUCAAGCAACAUUUAAAAAACCAAUUUAAUAUUAAUUUUAAAAAUUGCUUUUACAAAAGGACACAAGACACUAAAGCCCAACAGUAGGGUUGGUAAUCACGGCAGUGUAGCAUGAAUUUGAAUGUAGCAUUUCCUCAGGACUUUGUCUAGUCCUUCCACCCUCCACUUAGAGCUCUUCCAAAACAACGGCCCUGCUCACCUGCACGAGCACUGCUGUCUGCUGAUUCAAAACCACAGACUCCAAAAUUUGGGACUUUAGAUCGGAAAGUCUUUGCACAGCAGGGACAAAGAAGGUAGCAUUAGCAUCGGGAUGACCACAUAACCAGCAACAUGGCUAAAUACUUGAUCAAGAUUAAAAAUCGCCCUGUAACAAAUCCUCAACGUUCCUUUCCAACAGAAAAUUAGUGACCAUAGCAUCACUUUUAAAGCCCUUGACCUCUUUCAGUUCUCUCCAUCGUUGAAAAGCUGUCCCGAUGUUGACUUUCAUUUUCACACUUGCUUCUCUGAACUCUGUCUUGCUUCAGCCUUCUCUGCCUCCGUCUUUCUUUUCUUGCUAUUUUUGCAGAAGGAGCAGUCACCAUUAAUCUGGGUGUAGGUAGUUUUUCUGCCAUUCUCCUGUGUAGCUGUAUCCCUCUCAGCUCGACUAUGUGCAUUGAAUCGGGGCCAUGAACCACAAGAAGUGGGCAUGGGAUAUGAUUGGUUUUAAAAAUGUGGGACCCACACGAUGUGAUUGUUUGGUGUUUUCCCAGUUUUUCUCCUGCUGCAGAUAGUGGCUGUGCUCUUUUUUUAAGAACAUAUCAUGUAUUGAUUGCCAUCGUAACUUAAAGAUAAUUUUAACCAGAAUAACAAAAGUGUAUCUUUAUCAGAUUACCAACCCUACCUUUAACUAAAACCUGACCAGCCACAUGACAGGUUUUAAAAAGUUUCUUUUUUUCCAGACAAGUGUACCACAAAUACUUUAUAUGUGUGUAGCUGUUCUGAGUUCUUAGUUUUUUAUUUUUAAGUGACUUUUUUAUUCUGUUACCUUUAUCACCCAUGUGAUCCAAUUCAUGUUUUGUUUCUCUUUCUAGUGUGAUAACAUUGGUGUUUGUGUGUGUGUGUGUGUGUGUAGCGCAGACCUCAUCGCUACAUAGUCAUCUAUACAAACUGACAAGCUGUCAGCCAUACUAUCUUCUUUUGCUGAACUUUCUCCCUCUCUGUUUCUCUCACCCUCUUUAUCUCUUAUGCAUACAAGCAAACACACACUCACAGACUCACUCACGAUGCACACACACUCAUACACAUGCAUGCAUGCAUGCAUGCAUGCAUGCACACACACACAAUUACACAAUCAAUCUAUCUCCUCUCUGACACAGUGUCCUUGUGGCCUGCAGUUGUGCUGUGGAGUUUUGUGAUUAUGCAAACUUAUCUGCCUGAAGCUGGUGUCCCCCUCUUUACAUAUAUGUAUGACCAGGGGCGGAUCUAGAAAAAUAUUCAUGGGGUGGCAAGAGGGGGGCAGGAAUUUUUGAGGGGUGGCAACAUAUGGCAGAUAUAUACUGAGUUUGAUCAAUACAAAAAGGCAUUGCUGCCAUUUACAAACAUGACAGACAUUCUUCGUCCAAUACAAUCUUUCUUUUAUUAGGAUUCUCACACCAGUAAGAUUAAUACGAUGAGGCAUGUAAAAAUAAAAACAACAACCCAUUGCAGCUCCAUGGAUUUAGACCAGUGUCACAUUUUAAACGUUUCUCAUAUGCAAGCAUGAAAAUGGGUCAGGGGUUGAAAAGGUGAGAAGGGUGCGGAGGAAAUACGUUCCGGUACACUGUACAACCCAACAAAAUAUUGAGCUCUGUUCACCCACAUUGUGUUUCAGUGAUCUGCAGGAGGCGGCAAAAACACUCCAAGUCACACCUGCUUGCUUUUUUGCAGAUGCCUGCUUUUGCUAUUUUAGAUGGCUCAAAACCAGGGCCGUAGCCAGGAUUUUGGAAUAGGUGAGGUCCAUGAUGCGCGCGCUGAAGUUUUUUUUAAUGUUUUUUUUUUAUUACAAUUUUUUAGGCUACAAGUCACACAAGAUGUUUAUUGUUUAAAUAUAUUUUAUUUAUUUUAACUUUUUUUUAAAUUUUAUUCCAUUCUCCUCCGUGUGCCUCUGCUCCCCUUCCAUCUCUGAAUGACUCUCCUCUCUCUGCUACACCUAACUUUCCCUAUUCUCUCUUCCAUCCUCCUUGGUUUCAUGUUUACUAUCUUCCUCUUUGUCAAUUUCUUUCUUUUUCUUUGCCAGAAAUGCAUCCAGGGUAUUCUGUUUUAAUCUCUUGAACAUGUUUGCCCUGCUCUCUGUGACUUGUUUUCUGUGGAAUGGGUAUAUUAAAAUUAAUAUGAGCUGCAAACUUGCUAGAUAAACUGAACAUUAAUAUCUAAAAGUGCCCCCUCUAACUUUUUAACCCAUAUGUACUUUCACUUACCAAAUGAUUUCUUGAAGUUGACAUAUAAGGUACUCAGAAGGUCUACUAUUUUUUACUGUUUUUAAACUGUUGGGUUUAUUUUGUAGCGGCUUUAGAAGAGUGCUAUGAUGCAAACGUGUACAAAUAACUAAGACGUCGCCUGAACUGCACUAAACAAAGCAAACGUCACGUAACUCGAGUGCUGCGUCCGAACUGCCCGCUCGGAUACUACAUGCUACUGCUACGUGCUACUGCUAGAUCCUACUCCUACAUACUAAACACGUUGGCCCAAUUCGGACACACUAGACGAGCGGUGGGGAAAGACGACCCCCGCAGGCAGAGAGUAGGUACUGCGCCCGUGCAGACAGUGGUAACUGAAGCCCCUCAUCUGCGGGCCUGGCUGUAGUACUGCAGCUGUGCAGUUUAAUGAUGGAAUAAGUGAGCUUUACCUCCAUGAUGUCGCCACAUAUUUGCUCAUAAAAUGAUUACUUGGGCAAAUAUGACACCAUGACAUGACAAAGAGAUACAACCGCACAUUUUUUAGGACAGUGUGUGAAGUUACAUGAAACUUACAUCUGUACUGCUGCGGUCCCGCGACAUGGUGCGCGCUGUUGUGGCCAGCCGGCGUUCGCGAUACAUUUAAAUAGGCAGAGCAGCUGGUGGCGCUAGCAUCACAUGCGCUUCUACAACUUUUAAGAGGACGAAGAAGAAGCCCGUGGUGCAUUUUGGGUCAGUAGCAUGCCCGUAGGAUGCACCGAGACCAACCUACAAUGUGGGCGUGUCUAGUAUCUGAAGUAGUAUCUGAAGUAGCAUGCUACUCGCUCCGGUGGCCAAUUCGGACAUGCUAGAUACUACUUCGACUUCUACUUCGACUACUACUUGGCAAUUCGGACGCAGCUAAAGUCCUCGAGUAGUCGCAUCAUCGUGACGCGUACUCGGCCAGCUGAUGAGCCGGGCGCUCAUCAAAAAAGAAAAUAAGCGCCGGGCGCGCUCUCCGCUGUGGAUAAAAGUAAAUAAACUGGCUUUGAUCAGAUGAUUUGACUGGCCGAACUAGUGCCGAAUUAUCUAAAAAAUAUAUAUUGUGGUCACCUAGGUGUAGAUGGGCGGGGAUUUGGUCUAUGAAGUGCUAAUAAUAAAAAUACUUUAGUUUUUGAAUGGGGUUUCACAGGGCGCAGUCGCGGGUACGUGCAUCAGCUGAUCAAACAGCUGUUCACCGCAACACGCACAGAGGCACAAACAGAACACAAAGCCCAUGGAUGUUUACCACAAUUUACAAGCACGUUUCACAGAGAGGUUUCAAGUUUUUAUAAGUUUAUGUUUUAUUCAGUUGGGCGUAUUUGGCGGAAAAAAACCUCGGAAAAAAUAGGGGAGUCAAGGUAAAGAACAAUAAACUUUCGGGACAGCAAAUAUUCUGAAUCAGAGGGCUAUUGUUUUCGGCUAAUCUGUAUAACCUGAAUGAAAUCAUUAAAGGCACACGCUUUUGAAUCCGUCCAACGGUAAGGAAAACUUCGAUUAUUUCGCCUUGUUACGUACUUUCAACCGCGCUCUCGUCAGGGGGGCAUUCUACGGCAGGGGUGCAUUCUACGGCACAACACCGGCGUGGAUAAGUCCUGCUUCUCGUUCUCGCAGCUUUGCAAUGCUACCACAGGCUCUCCAAGUACUCCAAGUACACGUGAAGAGUGUGCGCAUGAUUGGUUCUCGUCAGCGAAGCAGCCAGGAGGAUUUGCUGACCGUCCAAGUGUCAUUUAAAGGGCCGAUUUCUGAAGUGUUCAGUUUACGUAUUAAGUCAAUCACAUGAUAAUUAAAAAAUAAAUAAAUAAAUCUCCCGACCCCGACCCCCCCCUAAAAAAAAUUCUCCUCGGAUCUACAGGAUUCAUGUAAGUCACCUUUUUUGACUUCAAAACGGCGAAUUUCGCCGAACGGUGAGAGAUUUUCAUGCCUGAAAUGGCUUUUACCUCUUUCCUCGUGCCUUCUUCCUCGGCUCCCGACUGUCUCUCUCUCGCUUCGAGCCCAUAGACUGUAGCUGCGUCCGAAUUGCCAAGUAGUAGUCGAAGUAGUAGUCGAAGUAGUAUCUAGCAUGUCCGAAUUGGCCACCGGAGCGAGUAGCAUGCUACUUCAGAUACUACUUCAGAUGCUAGACACGCCCACAUUGUAGGUUGGUCUCGGUGCAUCCUACGGGCAUGCUACUGACCCAAAAUGCACCGCGGGCUUCUUCUUCGUCCUCUUAAAAGUUGUAGAAGCGCAUGUGAUGCUAGCGCCACCAGCUGCUGCCUAUUUAGAUGCGUCGCGAACGCCGGCUGGCCACAGCAGCGCGCACCAUGUUGGAGCAGCAGCAGGCGGGACCGCAGCAGUACAGAUGUAAGUUUCAUGUAACUUCACACACUGUCCUAAAAAAUGUGCGGUUGUAUCUCUUUGUCAUGUCAUGGUGUCAUAUUUGCCCAAGUAAUCAUUUUAUGAGCAAGUGGCGACAUCAUGGAGGUAAAGCUCACUUAUUCCAUCAUUUAACUGCACAGCUGCAGUACUACAGCCAGGCCCGCAGAUGAGGGGCUUCAGUUACCACUGUCUGCACGGGCGCAGUACCUACUCUCUGCCUGCGGGGGUCGUCUUUCCCCACCGCUCGUCUAGUGUGUCCGAAUUGGACCAACGAGUUUAGGAUGUAGGAGUAGGAUCUAGCAGUAGCACGUAGCAGUAGCAUGUAGUAUCCGAGCGGGCAGUUCGGACGCAGCAUGUAUGUUCGCGCCUCUCCCAUCAAAGAAGUCUCGUGUCGCUCUCGCGCUCUCUCGUGCUGCAUUUACUGUCGUCGGACAUCGGAACUUCGCGCUCGUACCUGUUACAUUUUUCUAUCGGUUCAUUGCUGCCGGUUGGGGUGGCAGCAGGGGUGGCAAGGGUUAAUUUUAGGGUGGCACCUGCCACCCCAUGCCACCCCAGUAGAUCCGCCCCUGUGUAUGACCUAAUACUCCCUACCAACACAGUAGCACAUAAUUUACAUUUAAUAUCUGUAAAACCCUAUACCACUACACUCACAGUCUGCAGGUCAGCCCGUUGUACCAAAAGUCUCUAAAAGUAGUAUUGGAGGUAGAGCUUUCAGCUAUCCAGCACCUCUCCUCUGGAAUCAUUGACUGCUUGAGGUUAGGGGGGCAGACACCCUCUCAACUUUCAAGAGUAGACUUAAAAACUUUCUUUAGCUUAUAGUUAGGGCUGGCGUGAACGAGCUCUUAGUUAUGCUGCUAUAGGUUUAGACUGCUGGGGGAACUGGCACACUGAGCUCCUGUCCUGUCUAUCCCUUUCUCUCCUUUAGAUCCUCACGUCCCAUUAUACCUACUAAGAUCUCUUCUUCUAAGUUCAACAGACUUACUUUGUGUGUAGCCUUUUUUGAUGGAAUGAUCUCUGACCUGUUUUCUUUUUUGUGCUGUAGUGGGUAAUAUCUUUUUAUUAUGACCUCACAGUGUGUGAUGUGAAAACACAGUUUGAUUUUGAGUAUAGAGAGAAGAGCAUUGGAUUAUGCCAGUAAAAUUACAGGUUAUGUUCACAGUUUUGGGUUUGGGUUUGGAAAAUUUUUCUUAAACUUUACACGCAUGCACACACUUUUAUCUUUUAUAACAAGAUAAAGUUGUUAGGGUUAUAAUGCGCAAUCAGACCCACAAUUCAAAAAGUUAGCUUUGCUUGAAGGUAUAUUAUGAAUUAUACUUUUAUGCAUUACAGUAUGUUCACUACUUAAAGACAUCAUUAAAAUUGCAGUAAGUUGUAAACAAUGCUUGUAAUUGUUUAUAAGGACUUUUUUUUAAUAUAAGCUUUGUUAGAGCCCAAAAUGUAACAAUGACCCAAAAUGUUAUAAAAAAUGUAAUAAAGCCUGAAAUGUGAAAAUUUGUCAAUAAUGUUACAAAAAUGUUGAGACCGAAAUGUAAUAAAAUUUUUUUUAAACAACUGAAAAUGUAAUAACUGACCCAAAAUGUAAAACUUGCUACAUUUUGGCCAAAAAGUUAAUACGUGAUGGGGUGCAGCAUCUUUUUACAUAAUUAACAAGUUAUUAUAUAUUGUGUUUUAUAAAAAAAAAUUUAAAUUACAUUUGGGGUCAUUGUUACAUAUUGGGCUCCAACAAGUCUUGUAAAUGCAUUUAUAAGGCUUUAUAAAUGUACUUAUAACACACUCGGAGUUCUAGGUUCAUAUGAAGUGUUGGUGAAAUGUCUCUGAAUAACUCUUAAACUCUUUUUUUUUCCCAAAUUCCUCCACCUUUCUUUGCAUUUUCUCUCUCUUAUACCAGUGAGCUAUUACACCUAAAUGAUUACGUUCUCUGCUCCAUGAGUGGAUUGCUGUGCUAUGAAUCUAUAAUGUAAUCCCCCAACAUGGAGAGACACACAUCAAUCAUAUGUGACAGAACAUUACUGUUUCAACCCACCUGAUAUGGUGGAAAUGCAUGGAAAUCUGAGAACUGUAAGAGAGAGAGAGAGAGAGAGAGAGAGAGAGAGUGCAUGUGUGUUUGUAUAUGUAUGUGUGUAUCUGUGUAUGUGUUUAUGUGCAUACUACGCCUGCAGCACAGGCAUGACACGUUUGUUUGCAGCUAGAUUUUUGUAUUCUCUUAAAAGAUGCUGUGUAAGUGUUUAUGAAUGUGUGUGCGUCUAUGUGAUAGUACAUGUAGAUCUAAGUAUUGCACUCCCCUGUGCAUCUGAAAUACAUGUCUGCAUUCUUUAGUGCGUAUGUUCAUGUGAUGCAGUGUGUGUAUCCUGUGAGUGUGUAGCAGUAGUAGUAGUUUUAUAGAGAGGAGCUGUGUGUGUGGGGGAGGAGAACGUAGAAGUGAAUUAUGCCUUUUUUCUGAAGGGGAGGGGUGCAUAUAUGUUACGUGGGGGAUGGGCAGAUUGCAUACUGUAUGUAUGUUCACAAAGUAUGUGUGGGCUGGUUUAUGGCAUGAACGUGUAUCUUAUAUGUGCAAAAGGAAAAAAAAGGGAUGUAGUAGAAAACAAAAAGAUUCCUCCUUGUCUGAGAAUAAACUCUGCAUCCUGUAUGCACCUCUGUUUUAACUUAUAUGCACACAUGUUAGAAAAUUUGUUUGCUAUUAGUGUUUCAACAGGUUUUCGAUGUGUUGUGUUUUUUUCUAUAUGAUACACAUAUUUGUAACCAAGUAUGCAGUUACGUUAUUGAGUAUGCAGUACAUGUGUGAAUCUGUGAUGUGCACAUAAAUAACUUUGUGUGUUUGUGUGUAUGUGUGUGUGUGUGAGAGAGAGAGGAUCUCCUAACUGAAAUGUACUGUUUACUCAUUAAGAAUCGCCUAAAAAGGCAGCAAAGCUCAUUAUUGUUCUUUAGUUUGCAUUGAGCUGCUUCUGUUUCUAUAAACACAGUCUGUUUCAGUAAUGUAUGUACUUCAUCCUUCUCUCUUGGUUAAUUCUUGUAUCUGAUUGUUGUCUAAAUAAAUUAAAUGAUUUCACUUGACUUGUGGUAGAAAGCAUAACAAACUCAAACUGAAAGAACAGACUGUAGAGUCAGUAAAACUCACAACCAUCAUCAUCGACCUUUAUUUUAGCCAGGAAAAUCAUCAAGGUUUCCCACAUUCACAAUGACAUCAAGAAACAUUUAAAACAAACCCAAAUUGACCAGUGUUGCUGUGUGAAAACAAAAGCACAUAGAAAUUAUCAACUUUCAUCAUGAUCAGCAGGAAGAUUCAAUAUAAUCAGCUGCAAUUGUCCUCAAGAAAGAAUGUUCAUCCUCAUUAAUGCAUAAAUUAGCUUUGCAUUUUCAAGGAUCACACUUGAGUUGAUGCAAAUGCCCCUUUAUGUUUUCAAGAAUUAAAUAUAAGCUUUUCUUUUUUGGCUUUAAUACAUAGGCUUUAAUAUGUUUCAAUUACAUGUAAAUCAGUCAAGUACAUAUUAUAAAUCAACAAAAGAAAACUAUCAUUUGAGUGUGAAGCAGAUUUAAAGCUAUGCAGAGAAGAAAAUUUAUGCUGAUUUUUACAACAUGCAUUAAUCACCUGUAAUAACAUUGGGACAGCUUUGAUACUAUAAUAUGAACAGUUUUUAAGAGGUUUAAUGACAGCCUUAGUUCAGAGGCCCAAAUCUACACCUGUUAAUUUUACUUAGAGAAAUCUUUAAUUUCUAUACCUAUUGCCUAUGUUCUGUUGAUAUUCGUAAAUUUCAUUAAUUCAUUAACACGGACAUACAGUAAUGCUAAUGCUAAUUUGAAACAGCUUUCACGAAUGGAGCCAUGUGUUUUAACAGUAGGUGGGGCUCUGAAUUUGAGAAAGUUAUGAUCAGUAGAAAUCAUUAUGAGAGUACAUCAAUCAGUGAUGACUGAAAAGUGUUUGAAAACGGAAAAUACCAGUUUCCAAAAAAGACUUACGUCCUGAAAAACUCUGGAAAAAAUUUUGCACUUAAGUAUUAGGACAAGCAAAAAAAAAAAGAGCAAUUAUUGGAGUUUUUCUAAAGUCUGCUGCCCCAGCUCUGUUUUUUGUUGUACGAUCAAUACUUGAAAUAGGAAUGUUUGUUGUAGGUAUGCUCUUUGUAUAUACAUAAUAUUACAAUGCUACUAGACUUUACACUCUUAAGAAAAUGGCAAAUAUAUAUAAGACAAAUGAAAUCUUUAAUGUGACCUUUUUACUCUGUUCUACUACAUGGACUCUAGCCACCUGCUGGAUGUUUUCACUCAAGCAAACGUGCAAUGUCAGGGUUGGUUUUCUCAAAGCUAUUUAUUGUCAACUUGAUUCUGGGGGGCUGUUAAACCACAACUUUAUCACAUUCAAGCUAAGGCAAUCAUUGGCUAGAAGUAAUAUCUGCAUUCAUAACAUCAUAAUGUUUCCAUUCCAGGACAGUGUGAUAACCGCACGUUUCAUCACUGGAGUUAGAAAUAUUUGUUGAAAAAAAAAGCAUCAGUGAACUGUAGCUCAUCCCCAUAGAUGAGUUUUUAAGAGCAAACCUCUUCAAUCCUUCAAAAGAUAAGUCUGGUGAGGGCUGAACAUUUAAGAAAUUUUUUGAAUAUUGUCAGUAUGUCUUAAUGAAUAUUGUCCAUGUCUGAAAGAGGGUGCAGAAGACUGUCAUGUUUCAACCAUCUGACAGUCAGCAGAGCUAAAGAGCCAGCACAAAGAGGAGACUUUGUGUAAAUCUGUAGCUCUUGAAGUUAAAUUGCAUGCAGUUUCAAUAGGAGGUUUUCAGUCACGUGAUCCUGACUUCGCGCGAGGACCAAAUGGAGGAGAUGCGCCGUUUUAGAGGCGUGCCGGUAUUUAGCCUUAGAUAAAGUUUACCACCCGCUUUGGGCUGCAUUCCCAAACAACCUGACUCCGAGAAGACCGGACCCCGGUGCGACAGAUAGGGGCCGAAAGGACCCCCUUUUUACCUGUCCGCCCCCUCCGGAGCUCUGGGGCGCUCCCGGCGUGUCUGGCCACUCCACACCCCCCUCCCUACACAGUUUGACACGACUCAACUUCGGAAUGAAAGAAUUUAACUAUGGGCUAAAAAUGAGUCAUUACCUUUGACAAAGUGGUCACUGCACACACGGGCAUUAUCCGACGCAGCUCCUCCAGACCGUAGGCCAGUGGUUUUUAAGUCCAGUCCUCGAGCCCUAGCCACUAGCAUGCUUUUUAAUUUUUAAAAUAUAAUUAUAUAUUGUAUAAAAUUAUAAAAAUAUAAAAUUAUAUAAAAUAUAAUCAUAUUAUAUAAUCAUGGAUAUCAGCUUUGUUAGGGACCAAUACUGACAUGUUACUUUUUACGAAAAAAUGACAUCAAUAAUCCCAAUUUACUGGCAUGGCAUGGUAUAGCAUCUACCCCCUCACAGUGGUUACACCCUGUAAAAAAUAAACGUGACAGAAUUUGUCAGUUUUGUUGCUGACGGUCUUUUCGACUUUAAGCUAGACCAACAGCAGGAAAAUGGACCAUAUCACACCUGUCCUCAUGUCCUUGCGCUGGCUCCCUGUGAGUCAAAUGAUAGAGUUGAAAAUCCUGUUACUGGUCGACAAAUCACUGAAUGGUUUUAAAUACAUGUCAGAGCUGCUGGUCGGGUAUGAAGCAUCUAGACCCCUCAGGUCAUCAGGGACAGGUCUAUUCAUUUUUCCUAGGGUCAGAACCAAGCAGGGUGAAGCUGUAUUCAGC